ACACAUUGGUGAGGUCGUCUGCCCAGGGAAGUCUGGAUGGCGUCAUGGUAACAUCUGCAACUUGGUGGCUGAAAGGCAGCACGAUAUAAAGCAGGACAAAUUGUUUAAUAAAUAGGAACUCAAAGGCAGCAACAGAGCAUAUUCCAUCACUUCUUUACCUGGUAUUUCCAAGCCAAGUUUCACAGAUAAAGAACCCUGACUCCAAAAGUUUCAGAAGCCCAACUACAUCUUCUGGUUAAUUAGAGAUAAAGGUUAGACCUGGAUCCAGAAUCCUAAGGAGUGAGAAACAGAAGAUGGGAAUGCUUGAGGGGACCGCAUUCCAGCACAGGAAGGAAGGUCAGAGAAGACACAGUCAAAUCUACUAUGAAAGAAAGAUGCAUGCAGCCAAGUGACACUUGGGUACAUAAACACCAAGAGGAAGCACGUCAAGUGGUCAAGGAGCCAUGACCACACAGGCCACUCCACCCACCAUGCUCCUAUGUGUCCCCUUGGGCCAAUCCAUCUACGACUCGGGCUGUGCAAACAGGUCACCCACUUGAGCAGCUCAGCUGAUGGGAGAGAUUUGCACCAUUUGUACAGGUUUCUAUAAAUGAACUCUUUGAUUUGACAGAA